rnacentral:rRNA from 1 species
AUUGAACGCUGGCGGCAUGCCUUACACAUGCAAGUCGAACGGCAGCGGGGGAGAAGCUUGCUUUUCCUGCCGGCGAGUGGCGAACGGGUGAGUAAUACAUCGGAACGUGCCCUGUAGUGGGGGAUAACUAGUCGAAAGAUUAGCUAAUACCGCAUACGACCUGAGGGUGAAAGUGGGGGCCGGAAGGCCUCAUGCUAUAGGAGCGGCCGAUGUCUGGUUAGCUAGUUGGGGGGGUAAAGGCCUACCAAGGCGACGAUCAGUAGCUGGUCUGAGAGGACGAUCAGCCCAACUGGGACUGGGACACGGCCCAGACUCCUACGGGAGGCAGCAGUGGGGAAUUUUGGACAAUGGGCGAAAGCCUGAUCCAGCAAUGCCGCGUGUGUGAAGAAGGCCUUCGGGUUGUAAAGCACUUUUGUCCGGAAAGAAAUGGCUCUGGUUAAUACCUGGGGUCGAUGACGGUACCGGAAGAAUAAGGACCGGCUAACUACGUGCCAGCCGCCGCUGUAA